GACGAACGCUGGCGGCGUGCUUAACACAUGCAAGUCGAACGGUAAGGCCCUUCGGGGUACACGAGUGGCGAACGGGUGAGUAACACGUGGGUGAUCUGCCCUGCACUUCGGGAUAAGCCUGGGAAACUGGGUCUAAUACCGGAUAGGACUCCGGACUGCAUGGUCUGGGGUGGAAAGCUUUUGCGGUGUGGGAUGGGCCCGCGGCUUAUCAGCUUGUUGGUGGGGUGAUGGCCUACCAAGGCGACGACGGGUAGCCGGCCUGGGAGGGUGACCGGCCACACUGGGACUGAGAUACGGCCCAGACUCCUACGGGAGGCAGCAGUGGGGAAUAUUGCACAAUGGGCGCAAGCCUGAUGCAGCGACGCCGCGUGAGGGAUGACGGCCUUCGGGUUGUAAACCUCUUUCAGCAUCGACGAAGCGAAAGUGAUGGUAGGUGCAGAAGAAGGACCGGCCAACUACGUGCCAGCCGCCGCGGUAA
rnacentral:rRNA from 1 species